rnacentral:pre_miRNA from 1 species
AUAGUACUCCCUCUGUCCGGAAAUACUUGUCAUCAAAAUAAAUAAAAGGGGAUGUAUCUAGAUGUAUAUUAGUUCUAGAUACAUUCCUUUUUAUUCAUUUUGAUGACAAGUAUUUUCGGACGGAGGGGGUAAGAA